rnacentral:rRNA from 1 species
UGCGCCUUGCCAGCCCGCUCAGAAACUUAAAGGAAUUGACGGGGGCCCGCACAAGCGGUGGAGUAUGUGGUUUAAUUCGAUGCAACGCGAAGAACCUUACCUGGUCUUGACAUCCCGGAGACCCUUAGGAAACUAGGGGGUGCUUCCAUCUGGAAGAAUCUGGAGACAGGUGCUGCAUGGCUGUCGUCAGCUCGUGUCGUGAGAUGUUGGGUUAAGUCCCGCAACGAGCGCAACCCUUGCCUUUAGUUGCCAGCAGUUCGGCUGGGCACUCUAAAGGGACUGCCGGUGUUAAACCGGAGGAAGGUGGGGAUGACGUCAAGUCCUCAUGGCCUUUAUGACCAGGGCUACACACGUACUACAAUGGCCGAUACAAAGGGCAGCGACACUGCGAGGUGAAGCCAAUCCCGUAAAAUCGGUCUCAGUCCGGAUUGGAGUCUGCAACUCGACUCCAUGAAGUUGGAAUCGCUAGUAAUCGUGAAUCAGAAUGUCACGGUGAAUACGUUCCCGGGCCUU